CAGCAGCCGCGGGAAUACAGAGGGCGCGAGCGUUAAUCGGAUUUACUGGGCGUAAAGCGUGCGUAGGCGGCUAAUUGAGUCGGAUGUGAAAUCCCCGAGCUUAACUUGGGAAUUGCAUUCGAUACUGGUUAGCUAGAGUGUGGGAGAGGAUGGUAGAAUUCCAGGUGUAGCGGUGAAAUGCGUAGAGAUCCGGAGGAAUACCGAUGGCGAAGGCAGCCAUCUGGCCUAACACUGACGCUGAGGUACGAAAGCAUGGGGAGCAAACAGGAUUAGAUACCCCAGUAGUCCCUGUCUCUUAUAC
rnacentral:rRNA from 1 species